rnacentral:rRNA from 1 species
UACGAAGGGGGCUAGCGUUGCUCGGAAUCACUGGGCGUAAAGCGCACGUAGGCGGAUUGCUAAGUCAGGGGUGAAAUCCUGGAGCUCAACUCCAGAACUGCCUUUGAUACUGGCGAUCUCGAGUCCGGGAGAGGUGAGUGGAACUGCGAGUGUAGAGGUGAAAUUCGUAGAUAUUCGCAAGAACACCAGUGGCGAAGGCGGCAUCCUGGACCGGCAUUGACGCUGAGGCGCGAAAGCCAGGGGAGCAAACGGG